rnacentral:rRNA from 1 species
GACGAACGCUGGCGGCGUGCUUAACACAUGCAAGUCGAGCGGUAAGGCCCUUUCGGGGGGUACACGAGCGGCGAACGGGUGAGUAACACGUGGGUGACCUGCCCUCAGCUCUGGGAUAAGCCUGGGAAACUGGGUCUAAUACUGGAUAUGACUCCACGGUGCAUGUCGUGGGGUGGAAAGCCUUGUGCGGCUGAGGAUGGGCCCGCGGCCUAUCAGCUUGUUGGUGGGGUGAUGGCCUACCAAGGCGACGACGGGUAGCCGGCCUGAGAGGGCGACCGGCCACACUGGGACUGAGAUACGGCCCAGACUCCUACGGGAGGCAGCAGUGGGGAAUCUUGCGCAAUGGGCGAAAGCCUGACGCAGCGACGCCGCGUGAGGGAUGACGGCCU